GAACGCUGGCGGCAGGCCUAACACAUGCAAGUCGGACGGUAGCACAGAGAGCUUGCUCUUGGGUGACGAGUGGCGGACGGGUGAGUAAUGUCUGGGGAUCUGCCCGAUAGAGGGGGAUAACCACUGGAAACGGUGGCUAAUACCGCAUAACGUCGCAAGACCAAAGAGGGGGACCUUCGGGCCUCUCACUAUCGGAUGAACCCAGAUGGGAUUAGCUAGUAGGCGGGGUAAUGGCCCACCUAGGCGACGAUCCCUAGCUGGUCUGAGAGGAUGACCAGCCACACUGGAACUGAGACACGGUCCAGACUCCUACGGGAGGCAGCAGUGGGGAAUAUUGCACAAUGGGCGCAAGCCUGAUGCAGCCAUGCCGCGUGUAUGAAGAAGGCCUUCGGGUUGUAAAGUACUUUCAGCGGGGAGGAAGGCGACGGGGUUAAUAACCCUGUCGAUUGACGUUACCCGCAGAAGAAGCACCGGCUAACUCCGUGCCAGCAGCCGCGGUAAUACGGAGGGUGCAAGCGUUAAUCGGAAUUACUGGGCGUAAAGCGCACGCAGGCGGUCUGUUAAGUCAGAUGUGAAAUCCCCGGGCUUAACCUGGGAACUGCAUUUGAAACUGGCAGGCUUGAGUCUUGUAGAGGGGGGUAGAAUUCCAGGUGUAGCGGUGAAAUGCGUAGAGAUCUGGAGGAAUACCGGUGGCGAA
rnacentral:rRNA from 2 species